rnacentral:rRNA from 1 species
UUGGAGGGCAAGUCUGGUGCCAGCAGCCGCGGUAAUUCCAGCUCCAAUAGCGUAUAUUAAAGUUGUUGCAGUUAAAAAGCUCGUAGUUGAAUUUCGGGGUCAGUAGGUUGGUCAUGCCACUGGUAUGUACUGGUCUCGCUGAUUCCUCCUUCCUGAUGAGCCGUAAUGCCGUUAAUUUGGUGUUGCGAGGAAUCUGGACUGUUACUUUGAAAAAAUCAGAGUGUUUAAAGCAAGCUAACGCUUGAAUACAUUAGCAUGGAAUAAUGAAAUAGGACGUUCGAUCCUAUUUUGUUGGUUUCUAGGAUUGACGUAAUGAUUAAUAGGGAUAGUUGGGGGCAUUAGUAUUCAAUUGUCAGAGGUGAAAUUCUUGGAUUUAUUGAAGACUAACUACUGCGAAAGCAUUUGCCAAGGAUGUUUUCAUUAAUCAAGAACGAAAGUUAGGGGAUCGAAGACGAUCAGAUACCGUCGUAGCCUUAACCAUAAACUAUGCCGACUAGGGAUCGGAUGAUGUUAAUUUUUAAUGACUCAUUCGGCGCCUUACGGGAAACCAAAGUGUUUGGGUUC